rfam:Triticum urartu cultivar G1812 contig881144, whole genome shotgun sequence.
UUAGUACUUUCUCUGUCUUAAAAUUCUUGUUUUAAAUUUGUCUAAAUACGAAUGUAUCUAAUAUUAAAAUGUGACUUGAUAUAUCCGUAUUUAGACAAAUUUUAGACAAGAAUUUUGAGACGGAGGAAGUACCAC